ACUGGCCUUAGGAGCAGGAGGCCGAGCAGCCAGGGCUGCUUUCCCAUCGCUGUCUCAGCUGCUCCCGCUGGCCUUCUGCUCAGGCUGGUGUCUCCUUGGCCGGCUCCCUGCUUCUCAGCUCAUGCCUCCAGCCUUCUGGACUCUAGGAUCACAUGUGGCUGCCCACCUCGGACAGGGUUGACUAGAGGUGAAGAGGUGCCAUGCACUCCAGGAGAAGAGCUGACUGGAUCCUAUACUCAAAGAAUGGGCCACGGAUCCCUACCUGUCCACUGUUUGUUACUGGGCUGGGAAGCUGCAAGACCCGAUGCUGGGGAACUUCCAGUCUAUGCUGAGUAAGAGUGAUGAGAGCAGACAUCCUGCCUUUGUUCCUAAUCUUAGGAGGAAAGCAUUCAAUCUUUCACAGAUAAUAAUUUCCACUAGAACUUUGGGGAGCUCAGCAGAUGCAAUUGGAUUUUUUUGUCCAAACUAAUGACUUGUUUCUGGAAAGAAAACUGUUACCAUCAACGGGAUUCUUUUUCUUUUUUAAAACAUUAUACAGUGUUUGGUUCAGGCCAGCGGUGUGGGAUGGGAUUUAGUCUCCGGAUUUGCCAAGAUGUUUAUGCAGCAGGAAUGUUACUUAUGUAAGCCUGGAAGCGCUCCUGAUGUGCUAUAGCCUCCUCUUCCAUCACAGCUUUUUUUCAUUAAGAAGUUGAUCUUCCUUUCAUGAUACCACAUUAAGUGGCUGAAAGGAAAAGAAAAAAAUUGUUUACUGUACUAAAUAACCUAACUCUCCGCAAAGCAUCCAUUUGGUUAAAGGAACUGCAAGGAGCUCUGGAAAACGGGGCUGAGAAUUGUUUUGAUGCUCUCAGCUUGGCCCCUCACUCACUUCCUGUUGCUCUCUAGUUGCAAUCAAACUCAUAUGUGGGAAAAUAGAAAAUGCUUUUAAAAGAAAAGAAAGAUGAAUUCACAAACAAGCAAAACACCCUCUUUUACAUUUUUUCUGGGGACUGAAAUUUCCAUGUAAUGGAAAAGUGUCAAAUGAGAGAAAUCAUCAACGCUAAACAUGAAUGAAACACAAAUAAAAGCUAUAUGUGAGAAGCUAAGGAAGAAAAGGGUUAAACUCACCCUGCCACAGAUGAGUAAAUAUCUACAUGUUUAUAUAACCAACCAACAAACUCACUGAGAGCAAACAGGACAUUGUGAGGUGAAAACAGAGCUGUGAAAGUCGGACACUCCCAGCCCUCCCGGCUUAUCUCAUCCUCUGCUUUUCUGUGGAUGCUGCCCUAUGAGUCAGACGAGAUGAGAAACUUUAAUCAUUCUAAGCAGAUGUGUAUCAGCACUCUCUGAUAAAAGCAUGCCAGCACACUGCACCAGUCUGUAUCGGCACCCAUCCUCCAACAAAGCAAUGGUCCCUCAACCAAGACGGUAACAGCUCAGGUUAGACUAGCCCAGCGACCCCUCCCUGGGCUGUUCUGUGACAUCAGCAGUGCAGAGACGGAGAUUCUUCGCAGAGGGUCCUAGGCUGGGCUUGAAGCAUCAGUAGGUGUUUACCUUCUGCCCGUAGCUGUAUGAACUUUCUGAAUGUUGGAGGUGUGCUGCUACGUUGACGUGGUUUUCACGUGUGGGCAGUGAGUGAGGCUAGGGCCACAGUCCUGAGAAGUGGCCUCUUGCUUGAAAAAAACUGUCAUUUUCAUUGGACAAGAGGUGCAGCCUCAGCCCAGAAACAUCAUGGGGGUGGGAGUCCCUAUUAUUUCUUCCUUAAUUAUCUCUCCAACUAAUAUUGAGCAGCUAGAUACUGGCAGGGCUGCCACAUACGGCUGUGCAAGCUGCAUACUGGACAAGGGUGCUGUAUCCGAGACAUUAUUCCCACGGUAGCUGUCAUAGAUUUGCAUGUUUAUUGUGUUGAUUUUCUGGAGGACACCAGGAAAGUACCUUGAAUCAGGAAGUCCUGUUCCCAAGUUUCAUAAAAGAGCUAUAUGUGCUUGAGGGACUGUGUGCACAGGGCUGGGUGUGCAGAUCCAAAGAUGCAGGGGAGCACAGGAGCCUUCCAGGGUUCUGGAUUUUGUUGUAUGUGCACCAAGGCCAAGGGGGCUAGGUGGCGAGGACCCUGCAGGAUCUCCUGGGAUCAAGGAAAGAGGAGGACCCUGGCCUCCCAGGACCAGGCCCCUAAAACAAGUCAUAUAUAUUGGACAGUCUGUUGAGUGGCACUACCCUAUAGAAACACAACGUGAGCUGUAAAUACCAGCCACGUGUCAUUUCAAAGCUUCUGGUAGCC
rnacentral:lncRNA from 10 species